AGAGUUUGAUCCUGGCUCAGAACGAACGCUGGCGGCAUGCCUAACACAUGCAAGUCGAACGCCUGUAGCAAUACAGGAGUGGCGCACGGGUGAGUAACGCGUGGGAACCUGCCUAGUGGUAAGGAAUAACCGCGGGAAACUGCGGCUAAUACCUUAUGAGCCCUACGGGGGAAAGAUUUAUCGCCAUUAGAGGGGCCCGCGUCCGAUUAGCUAGUUGGUGAGGUAACGGCUCACCAAGGCUCCGAUCGGUAGCUGGUCUGAGAGGAUGAUCAGCCACACUGGGACUGAGACACGGCCCAGACUCCUACGGGAGGCAGCAGUGGGGAGUAUUGGACAAUGGGGGCAACCCUGAUCCAGCAAUGCCGCGUGAGUGAUGAAGGCCUUAGGGUUGUAAAGCUCUUUCGACGGGGAAGAUGAUGACGGUACCCGUAGAAGAAGCCCCGGCUAACUUCGUGCCAGCAGCCGCGGUAAUACA
rnacentral:rRNA from 1 species